rnacentral:rRNA from 1 species
GUCCACGCCCUAAACGAUGAUCACUCGAUGUGUGCGAUACACUGUACGCGUCUGAGCGAAAGCAUUAAGUGAUCCACCUGGGGAGUACUACCGCAAGGUUGAAACUCAAAGGAAUUGACGGGGGCCCGCACAAGCGGAGGAGCAUGUGGUUUAAUUCGAUGAUACGCGAGGAACCUUACCAGGGCUUGAAAGUUAGUGAAGUAUGUGGAAACAUGUACGUCAGCAAUGACACGAAACUAGGUGCUGCAUGGCUGUCGU